UAAUAUUGACCUCGUAUCAGGUAAGAGUACCCGCUGAACUUAAGCAUAUCAAUAAGCGGAGGAAAAGAAACCAACAGGGAUUGCCUUAGUAGCGGCGAGUGAACCGGCAAAAGCUCAAAUUUGAAAUCUGCUACCAAUAGCCGAAUUGUAAUUUGUAGAUGGUAACUCUGUAAGGAGUCUUUGCUCAAGUUUUCUGGAAUGAAACAUCAUGGAGGGUGAGAAUCCCGUGAGGCAUUGACGUACUUGCGUGUAGAGUGCUAUCGAAGAGUCGAGUUGUUUGGGAAUGCAGCUCAAAGUGGGUGGUAAACAUCAUCUAAAGCUAAAUAUUGGCGAGAGACCGAUAGCGAACAAGUACUGUGAAGGAAAGAUGAAAAGUACCUUGAAAAGGGGGUGAAAAAGUAUGUGAAAUUGAUAAUAUGGAAGGGUAUGAGAUUAGACAUUGAGUUUUGAGUUCGCUGGUCCCUCGGGGCUAGUUUGUCUCUUUACUCUACACCAACAUCAGUUUUGGCAGGAGGAUAAACAAUGCGGAAUGUAGCUGCUUGCAGUGUUAUAGACGUAUUGCAUACUCUUAGCCGGGACUGAGGUCAGCCUUUGUAGGAUGUUGGGGUAAUGAUCUUAUACCAC
rnacentral:rRNA from 1 species